CUUGGUCAUUUAGAGGAAGUAAAAGUCGUAACAAGGUUUCCGUAGGUGAACCUGCGGAAGGAUCAUUCACAAACGAGUGUUUUAUGGCACUCUUUAAAAAUCCAUAUCCACCUUGUGUGCAAUGUUUGUUGGGAAAGUCUUUUCUUUCCCUUCAUAAAUAUCAACCUAUAUCUUUAACAACAUUCGUCUGAUAACAUAUUAUGAAUAUACUUAAUUCAAAAUAUAACUUUCAACAACGGAUCUCUUGGCUCUCGCAUCGAUGAAGAACGCAGCGAAAUGCGAUACGUAAUGUGAAUUGCAGAAUUCAGUGAAUCAUCGAAUCUUUGAACGCAUAUUGCGCUCUUUGGUAUUCCGAAGAGCAUGCUUGUUUGAGUAUCAGUAAACACCUCAACCUCUCUUUUUGACAAAAAAAGGGAGGGUGGACUUGAGCUAUCCCAACGACCUUCACCGGUAGGCGGGCGGCUUGAAAUGCAGGUGCAGCUGGACUUUUAUCUGAGCUAAAAGCAUAUCUAUUUAGUCCUCGUCAAACAGGAUUAUUACUUUUGCUGCAGCUAACAUAAAGGAUAAUUGUCCUCUUUGCUGACUGAUGCAGGAUUUUACGACACUUUAUGUGUUGUUCAACUCGAUCUCAAAUCAAGUAAGACUACCCGCUGAACUUAAGCAUAUCAAUAAGCGGAGGA
rnacentral:rRNA from 1 species